AACGAACGCUGGCGGCAUGCCUAACACAUGCAAGUCGAACGAGACCUUCGGGUCUAGUGGCGCACGGGUGCGUAACGCGUGGGAACCUGCCCUUAGGUUCGGAAUAACUCCCCGAAAGGGGUGCUAAUACCGGAUAAUGUCUUCGGACCAAAGAUUUAUCGCCUUUGGAUGGGCCCGCGUUGGAUUAGCUAGUUGGUAGGGUAAAAGCCUACCAAGGCGACGAUCCAUAGCUGGUCUGAGAGGAUGAUCAGCCACACUGGGACUGAGACACGGCCCAGAGUCAUACGGGAGGCAGCGGUGGGGAAUAUUGGACAGUGGGCGAAAGCCUGAUCCAGCAAUGCGGCGUGAGUGAUGAAGGCCUUAGGGUUGUAAAGCUCUUUUACCCGGGAUGAUAAUGACAGUACCGGGAGAAUAAGCUCCGGCUAACUCCGUG
rnacentral:rRNA from 1 species